UCCAGAGAGCUAGGUCUUCGCAUAAUGUGUCCGAAGUAGGAUAACUCUAGUCUGGUCAUUUGUGCCUCAAUGGGGCUGAAUCAAGUUAUCCAGCUCUUCCCGCUCCCCACCCGCAACCAUUCCUGGAUUGCCCCUCUCCCUCCAGAAUGGGCUCUAUUGUCCUGGUGCUUUUGGUAUUUUUACUGAGGACAGCACUGAACAUGAAGUUAAAUGCAGAGGAACUGAAACUAUGUGCCUUGAUCUCGUGGGAUACAGACAAGAACAUUGUAAU